rnacentral:snoRNA from 1 species
UCCACAUGAUGAUCACUUUUAGCCUGAUUGUUUAAAUGAAGGUAUUGAUUUAAUGAGCCUGAUGG